rnacentral:rRNA from 1 species
ACCCAAUAGAUACCCGGGUAGUCCACGCCCUAAACUAUGUCGACUGGUUGUUGGGGGUUUGGCACUCUCAGUAAACGAAAGCUAAACGCGUGAAAGUCGACCGCCUGGGGAGUACGGCCGCAAGGUUAAAACUCAAAGGAAUUGACGGGGACCCGCACAAGCGGUGGAUUAUGUGGAUUAAUUCGAUGCAACGCGAAAAACCUUACCUACCCUUGACAUGUCCUGAAGCCUGGAGAGAUCCGGGUGUGCCCGAAAGGGAACGGGAACGCAGGUGCUGCAUGGCUGUCGUCAGCUCGUGCCGUGAGAUGUUGGGUUAAGUCCCGCAACGAGCGCAACCCUUGUCAUUAGUUGCUACAUUCAGUUGGGCACUCUAAUGAGACUGCCGGUGACAAACCGGAGGAAGGUGGGGAUGACGUCAAGUCCUCAUGGCCCUUAUGGGUAGGGCUUCACACGUAAUACAAUGGCGCGUACAGAGGGUUGCCAAGCCGCGAGGUGGAGCCAAUCCCAGAAAGCGCGUCGUAGUCCGGAUCGCAGUCUGCAACUCGACUGC